rnacentral:tRNA from 1 species
AAGCUUAAUAAAAGUAACUUCUAAUUACUUAAAAGUAAAAUUUACUUAAGCUUU